rnacentral:piRNA from 1 species
UAGGUUGGUAUGCGCACAUGAGGGU